AUUGAACGCUGGCGGCAGGCCUAACACAUGCAAGUCGAGCGGAUGAAGGGAGCUUGCUCCUGGAUUCAGCGGCGGACGGGUGAGUAAUGCCUAGGAAUCUGCCUGGUAGUGGGGGAUAACGUCCGGAAACGGGCGCUAAUACCGCAUACGUCUUGAGGGAGAAAGUGGGGGAUCUUCGGACCUCACGCUAUCAGAUGAGCCUAGGUCGGAUUAGCUAGUUGGUGGGGUAAAGGCCUACCAAGGCGACGAUCCGUAACUGGUCUGAGAGGAUGAUCAGUCACACUGGAACUGAGACGCGGUCCAGACUCCUACGGGAGGCAGCAGUGGGGAAUAUUGGACAAUGGGCGAGAGCCUGAUCCAGCCAUGCCGCGUGUGUGAAGAAGGUCUUCGGAUUGUAAAGCACUUUAAGUUGGGAGGAAGGGCAGUAAGUUAAUACCUUGCUGUUUUGACGUUACCAACAGAAUAAGCACCGGCUAACUUCGUG
rnacentral:rRNA from 1 species